GACGAACGCUGGCGGCGUGCCUAAUACAUGCAAGUCGAGCGGACGGAUGGGAGCUUGCUCCCAGACCGUCAGCGGCGGACGGGUGAGUAACACGUGGGCAACCUGCCUGUAAGACUGGGAUAACUCCGGGAAACCGGGGCUAAUACCGGAUAACUCUUUCCCUCACAUGAGGGAAAGCUGAAAGAUGGCAUCUCGCUAUCACUUACAGAUGGGCCCGCGGCGCAUUAGCUAGUUGGUGAGGUAACGGCUCACCAAGGCGACGAUGCGUAGCCGACCUGAGAGGGGGAUCGGCAACACUGGGACUGAGACACGGCCCAGACUCCUAAGGGAGGCAGCAGUAGGGAAUCUUCCGCAAUGGACGAAAGUCUGACGGAGCAACGCCGCGUGAGUGAUGAAGGUUUUCGGAUCGUAAAACUCUGUUGUCAGGGAAGAACAAGUACCGGAGUAACUGCCGGUACCUUGACGGUACCUGACCAGAAAGCCACGGCUAACUCCGUG
rnacentral:rRNA from 1 species